UGGGGAAUAUUGCACAAUGGGCGGAAGCCUGAUGCAGCGACGCCGCGUGAGGGAUGACGGCCUUCGGGUUGUAAACCUCUUUCAGUAGGGACGAAGCGUAAGUGACGGUACCUGCAGAAGAAGCACCGGCUAACUACGUGCCAGCAGCCGCGGUAAUACGUAGGGUGCGAGCGUUGUCCGGAAUUACUGGGCGUAAAGAGCUCGUAGGCGGUUUGUCACGUCGUCUGUGAAAUCCUAGGGCUUAACCCUGGACGUGCAGGCGAUACGGGCUGACUUGAGUACUACAGGGGAGACUGGAAUUUCUGGUGUAGCGGUGGAAUGCACAGAUAUCAGGAAGAACACCGAUGGCGAAGGCGGGUCUCUGGGCCGUUACUGACGCUGAGGAGCGAAAGCGUGGGGAGCGAACAGG
rnacentral:rRNA from 1 species